UGGGUAUAGAGUUGUUGAAUCAGUGUGUUGUACCCCCUGAAACUCAAGUAACAUUGUACAUCAGCUAUUCUCCAUCAACCAGUCUGAAGAGUAGGACCCAUUCCCAAAGCUAACCGCGGUUCAUCAUGCAGUUAUUUAGAAGUGGGACUAGGGUCACAGACGUCUCUCAGAGGUGACAGAAUUUGAUUUGGGCCUUGAAGUUGAAGAAUUUGGAUAAGGAAUGUUUUACCCAUUAACCCAAGCCCUUUUGGUCAAGAAAGAAAGCCCUUGGGGCGCCUGGGUGGCUCAG